AUUGAACGCUGGCGGCAGGCCUAACACAUGCAAGUCGAACGAGUGGCGGACGGGUGAGUAAUGUCUGGGAAACUGCCUGAUGGAGGGGGAUAACUACUGGAAACGGUAGCUAAUACCGCAUACCAUCAGAGGUGCCCAGAUGGGAUUAGCUAGUUGGUGGGGUAACGGCUCAUCCAGACGACGAUCCCUAUCUGGUCUGAGAGGAUGACCGGCCACACUGGAACUGAGACACGGUCCAGACUCCUACGGGAGGCAGCAGUGGGGAAUAUUGCGCAAGGGGCGAAAGCCUGAUGCAGCCAUGCCGCGUGUAUGAAGAAGGCAUUCGGGUUGUAAAGUACUUUCAGCGGGGAGGCGUUACCCGCAGAAGAAGCACCGGCUAACUCCGUGCCAGCAGCCGCGGUAAUAC
rnacentral:rRNA from 1 species